UGGAGCCAUGACGCAGCCAGCGCACAUUACUCACUUUUACAGUCACGACUUGGAAAUCCGUGCAGUUUCCAACCAAAAUUACACCGCCACCAUUGAAUUAUUUAAUAGGAUCCAGUUAAGGGAUCCGCAACUGUCGCUGGGCUUGGAGUGCCAGACAAUAACAUGGCAAACUACUGCUAGUGAUACAGCAACAUUGGGAAAAAUCACACCGCUAUUAC